rnacentral:rRNA from 1 species
AUAUAAGUAAGCGGAGGACAAGAAACUAAACAGGAUCCCUAUAGUAAUGGCGAAUGAACAGGGAUGAGCUCAUCAUGGAAAUUGGGGCCUGUGGCUUUGACUUGUAAUCUUGAGAGGCAUUGCCAACAGAGGCGCAGAUGUAAGUCUCUUGGAAAAGAGCAUCAAUGAGGGUGAGAGUCCUGUUUGCCAUUUGCAGCCCCCCUGUGCACGGUGUGCCUUCUAAGAGUCACGUUCCUCGGGAGUGGAGCGCAAAGUGGGUGGUAACUUUCAUCUGAAGCUAAACAAUGGUCUGGGACCGAUAGGAAACAAGUACCAUGAGGGAAAGGUGAAAAGGACUUUGGAAAGAGAGUUAAAAGUGCCUGAAAUUGCUGAAGGGGAAGCGAAUGGAACCAGUGGUGUUGGGUGAGAUUGUCGCAUGCUGCAAGGAUUGGUUGCUGAUUCAGCGCAAGCGUUUUGGUAAUGUUUGAGUUGUGUGUGUGUGGUGUGUCUUGCCUUGUGUGUCAUUGUGGGUUUAUGCAUUAAGACAAUUCAAAACGCAUGGCAAUAUGUUUCUGAAUCUAUGAAUGCAUUUUGUUAUGUUUAUGCAUAAGCUGCAUGCUGAAUGUCUGGCUGCAGAGCUUGACAUCCGGAGCCUUGCACUGGGAUGAGUUGAGCA